UUUGUAAGUGAGUUCUUGUAAAUUCUCAUGUGACCCGAACCUCCUAAAGAGAAAAUCCGAUCACAUCCGUAUUAUCUGCUCGAUAUCGUGCCCAUAAAUCAACCUGCAGACAGAGUGCUGACCAGGCUUGGAUCAAUCAGCCACAGCCACAAAUCUCGCCGUAGACAGAGUGCAGACCAGGUAGCAGUCGAUUUCAUUCUUUGAAGAGUUUUGAUCAGGUCUUCUUUUGAUAAGGUUGCUGUUGUGUUGCGCAAAUGGCAAUUAUAGGAUUAUUAUAGAUUUAUAGUUUAUUUUAUUAUUAAAUAUUAAAAAGUGAUUGAUGUUAAAGCUGUAUAAGGUUGCUGUUGUGAUUAAGAAAUUAAAAAUUAAGGAAUAUAGUUUAUUUUGUAUGUGA
rnacentral:lncRNA from 1 species